rnacentral:rRNA from 1 species
GAGUUUGAUCUUGGCUCAGAAUGAACGCUGGCGGCGCGCUUAAUACAUGCAAGUCGUGCGGUAAGGCCCCUUCGGGGGUACACGAGCGGCAUACGGGUGAGUAACACGUGGGUAAUCUGCCUUUGUCACAGGGAUAACCAGGGGAAACUCUGGCUAAUACCUGAUGAUGUCACGAGACUCGGUUGUCUUGUGACCAAAGCUCCGGCGGACAAAGAUGAGCCCGCGGCCCAUUAGCUAGUUGGCGGGGUAACGGCCCACCAAGGCAACGAUGGGUAGCCGGCCUGAGAGGGUGAUCGGCCACACUGGAACUGAGACACGGUCCAGACUCCUACGGGAGGCAGCAGUAGGGAAUAUUGGGCAAUGGGCGCAAGCCUGACCCAGCGACGCCGUGUGAGUGAUGAAGCCCUUCGGGGUGUAAAGCUCUGUAAGCAGGGACGAAGUUCUGACGGUACCUGCAAAGUAAGCCCCGGCUAACUCCGUGCCAGCAGCCGCCGU